rnacentral:rRNA from 1 species
AGAGUUUGAUCAUGGCUCAGAACGAACGCUGGCGGCGCGCCUAACACAUGCAAGUCGAGCGAGAACGGGGAGCAAUCCCCUAGUAAAGCGGCGCACGGGUGCGUAACACGUGGGUAAUCUGCCUCUGGGACCGGGACAACCUUCCGAAAGGGAGGGCUAAUACCGGAUAAGCCCACGGGACCUUCGGGUCUCGAGGGAAAAGGUGGCCUCUGCAAGCAAGCUAUCACCUGGAGAUGAGCCCGCGGCCCAUCAGCUAGUUGGCGGGGUAACGGCCCACCAAGGCGACGACGGGUAGCUGGUCUGAGAGGACGAUCAGCCACACUGGAACUGAGACACGGUCCAGACUCCUACGGGAGGCAGCAGUGGGGAAUCUUGCACAAUGGGCGAAAGCCUGAUGCAGCGACGCCGCGUGUGUGAUGAAGGUCUUCGGAUCGUAAAGCACUUUCGACCGGGACGAAACCCCCGGGGGUGAAUAUCCCCCGGGCUUGACGGUACCGGUAGAAGAAGCAACGGCUAACUCUGUGCCAGCAGCCGCGGUAAUACAGAGGUUGCGAGCGUUGUUCGGAAUUAUUGGGCGUAAAGCGCGUGUAGGCGGGACGGCAUGUCGAAUGUGAAAGCCCUCGGCUCAACCGAGGAAGUGCGUUCGAAACUACCGUUCUUGAGUGCCGGAGAGGGUGGCGGAAUUCCCGGUGUAGAGGUGAAAUUCGUAGAUAUCGGGAGGAACACCAGUGGCGAAGGCGGCCACCUGGACGGACACUGACGCUGAGACGCGAAAGCGUGGGGAGCAAACAGGAUUAGAUACCCUGGUAGUCCACGCCGUAAACGAUGAGUGCUAGGUGUUGUGGGUGUUGACCCCCGCAGUGCCGGAGCUAACGCAUUAAGCACUCCGCCUGGGAAGUACGGCCGCAAGGCUAAAACUCAAAGGAAUAGACGG